GACGGGCAUAUCGCGUUGAAACACCGGUUCUCGUACGAUCACCGACGUUAAGUAACGUCGAGCCAGUUCAGUAUCUAGAUGGGUGACGACCUCUUGGGGAUAUCAGGUACUGUAAU